ACUGUCCCCGUUUUACAAAUGGGAUCAACAAGGCUGAGGACAGUGAGCAGCUGGCAGGAGUCUGGUCCUCUUGGCUGUGUGUCGUUGGGGUGGUUGCAUCCCCUCUCUGGCUGGGCUAGAAGCACCUCUAGACCCAGUCACCUCUGGUGCUGCACCUGCGAAAACCAAAGCUGAGCCCAGGAGUGUGGACUGCAAGAGCUGCAAUCCCAGGACGUCCAAGGGUCCCACCUCCAUGGAAGCUGGUCGCCAAGGAAACCACUGCGGAGACCAUAGUCAGACCCGUGUCUUCCCUGCAGGGAAAUUCAGCCCUUACUCAUCUCUCCAUCCACAGCCGCCUCUUGGCGUGACCUCGGAAGGCGCUGCCAAACCCCAAGCGAGGAGUCCCCUCCCUCUCGCCGGGACCUUUCCCCAGGGGGCUGAAAGAAGGAAGCAGGGCUGGGAUGAGAAAGCCUAGGGCAGCAGAGCAAGCAUGGCCCUAGAAC
ensembl:lncRNA